GACGAACGCUGGCGGCAUGCCUAACACAUGCAAGUCGAGCGAGCUGAUUCCUUCGGGAUGAAGCUAGCGGCGGGCGGGUGAGUAACACGUGGGCAACCUGCCUCAUAGAGGGGAAUAGCCUUCCGAAAGGAAGAUUAAUACCGCAUAAGAUUGCAUCUUCACAUGAAGAAGCAAUUAAAGGAGCAAUCCGCUAUGAGAUGGGCCCGCGGCGCAUUAGCUAGUUGGUGAGGUAACGGCUCACCAAGGCGACGAUGCGUAGCCGACCUGAGAGGGUGAUCGGCCACAUUGGGACUGAGACACGGCCCAGACUCCUACGGGAGGCAGCAGUGGGGAAUAUUGCACAAUGGGGGAAACCCUGAUGCAGCAAUGCCGCGUGAGUGAUGACGGCCUUCGGGUUGUAAAGCUCUGUCUUCGGGGACGAUAAUGACGGUACCCGAGGAGGAAGCCACGGCUAACUACGUGCCAGCAGCCGCCGUAA
rnacentral:rRNA from 1 species